rnacentral:rRNA from 1 species
GGGGCGCAGCAGGCGCGAACCUUUACACUGCACGACAGUGCGAUAAGGGGACUCCGAGUGCGAGGGCAUACAGUCCUCGCUUUUUCUGUACCGUAAGGUGGUACAGGAACAAGUGCUGGGCAAGACCGGUGCCAGCCGCCGCGGUAAUACCGGCAGCACGAGUGAUGGCCGCUAUUAUUGGGCUAAAGCGUCCGUAGCCGGCCGAGCAAGUUCGUUGGGAAAUCUGCCCGCUUAACGGGCAGGCGUCCGGCGAAAACUGUUCGGCUUGGGGCCGGGAGAUCUGAGGGGUACGUCCGGGGUAGGAGUGAAAUCCCGUAAUCCUGGACGGACCACCGGUGGCGAAAGCGCCUCAGAAAAACGGACCCGACGGUGAGGGACGAAAGCUAGGGUCUCGAACCGGAUUAGAUACCCGGGUAGUCCUAGCCGUAAACGAUGCUCGCUAGGUGUGGCGCAGGCUACGAGCCUGCGCUGUGCCGUAGGGAAGCCGUGAAGCGAGCCGCCUGGGAAGUACGUCUGCAAGGAUGAAACUUAAAGGAAUUGGCGGGGGAGCACUACAACCGGAGGAGCCUGCGGUUUAAUUGGACUCAACGCCGGACAUCUCACCAGCACCGACAGUGUGCAGUGAAGGUCAGGUUGAUGACCUUACUGGAGCCACUGAGAGGAGGUGCAUGGCCGCCGUCAGCUCGUACCGUGAGGCGUCCUGUUAAGUCAGGCAACGAGCGAGACCCGCAUCCCUAGUUGCCAGCAGCAACCUUGUGUUGGCUGGGUACACUAGGGAGACUGCCGCUGCCAAAGCGGAGGAAGGAACGGGCAACGGUAGGUCAGUAUGCCCCGAAUGUGCUGGGCAACACGCGGGCUACAAUGGCCGGGACAGUGGGACGCGACCCCGAGAGGGAGAGCUAAUCUCCUAAACCCGGUCGUAGUUCGGAUUGCGGACUGAAACUCGUCCGCAUGAAGCUGGAUUCGGUAGUAGUCGCGUGUCAUUAGCGCGCGGCGAAUACGUCCCUGCUCCUUGCACACACCGCCCGUCAAAGCACCCGAGUGAGGUCCGGAUGAGGCCACCAUGCGGUGGUGAAU